ensembl:misc_RNA Metazoa_SRP Metazoan signal recognition particle RNA
GCCAGGUGUGGUGGUGCACACCUGUAGUCCCAGCUACUGGGGAGGCUGAGGAGGGAGGAUCACUUGAGCCAGGGAGGCCGAGGGUACAGUGAGCUAUGAUUGUGCCCAUAAACAGCCACUGCACUCUAGCCUGGGCAACAGAGCGAGACUAUGUCUCAG